rnacentral:rRNA from 1 species
GACGAACGCUGGCGGCGUGCUUAACACACGCAAGUCGAACGGUGAAGCCCUUCGGGGUGGAUCAGUGGCGAACGGGUGAGUAACACGUGAGCAACCUGCCCCUGGCUCUGGGACAACCACUGGAAACGGUGGCUAAUACCGGAUACGACCCGCCUCGGCAUCGAGUGUGGGUGGAAAGUUUUUCGGCUGGGGAUGGGCUCGCGGCCUAUCAGCUUGUUGGUGAGGUGAAGGCUCACCAAGGCGACGACGGGUAGCCGGCCUGAGAGGGCGACCGGCCACACUGGGACUGAGACACGGCCCAGACUCCUACGGGAGGCAGCAGUGGGGAAUAUUGCACAAUGGGCGAAAGCCUGAUGCAGCGACGCCGCGUGAGGGAUGACGGCCUUCGGGUUGUAAACCUCUUUCAGCUCCGAAGAAGCGAAAGUGACGGUAGGAGCAGAAGAAGCACCGGCUAACUACGUG